UACGUAGGGGGGCAAGCGUUUGUCCGGAUUUAUUGGGCGUAAAGAGCGUGUAGGCGGCCAUGUAGGUCCGUUGUGAAAAACUCGAGGCUCAACCUCGAGACGCCGAUGGAAACCAUGUGGCUAGAGUCCGGAAGAGGAGAGUGGAAUUCCUGGUGUAGCGGUGAAAAUGCGCAGAUAUCAGGAAGAACACCCCGUGGCUAAGGCGGCUCUCUA
rnacentral:rRNA from 1 species